UAGAGUGGAGUAAAUGGUGUGGAAGGAGGGUGAGCUGAGCUGGUGGGUGUCACUCAGAAGGGUGAAGUAGGAAUGUGGGGUUCUAGCAGAGUUGAAUGGACCAAAUGAGGAAGGGAUAUUGCAAUAGAAGGAUUGGGGAUUAAAUUUGGGACAGAUGAACAUGUGGGAAACCAGUAGGGCCCCACUUCAAGCAUUGAGAUGUUUGGAGAGACUCCAUCAACCCCCAACAAUUCAACAACAUAUGCUUCUGUUCCCUGGAGUUUAGAAGAAUGGACGGCAGAGGGGAUGAAAUGAAAGAGAGAGAUGGUUAAGAUCCGUUCAGCUUAGAAGCUGCUGCCUGGAGUAACGGCCAAUGUGUCAGGUGCCCAGGACUCUACCAGCCAGUCACUGACCUUUCCUUCACAGGACACGUACGGUGUCUUCCCUUCGCCAGGCUGGAGGAGCAGAGAAAGGUUCACCAUCAGAUGUCCGACCGCUGGAAUACGACCCCUUUCCAAACGUUGGAAUGCUGUGUAAGAAGGUUAUUAAAG